UUGUGACAUUUAAAAAAUACAAGAAUCGACAGAAGAAAGUUCAUUUGUAGUUCUUAACAUAUUUAGGGUGUUUUUACUCCCUUUUUGUCUCUCCCACAGCGUCCAUCACAAUUACAUGCACAUUGACAAUUAUGCAAAUUAGGCGAUUAUGACAUUUAGCGACUUUUAGGAUAGCUACUUUCCUUUCCUGAGGAGUUGGCAACAGUGCCUUGGAGAUUUCUUCAAUCUCGGAGAAUGAGUACUACUGAAGACAAACGUUUCUGCGUCUCAUCAUUUUACCCUAUUAAUUCAGUUGUGUAAUAUGAUUCAAAAUAUUGAGGUAGCAUGGUUAAUUACCUAGUCCACGAGUUUCAUGUUUGAAGGCAAUUGAAGGGAUUUUUAACCGAGUGAAAAACGGGUUGUUUUUUUUCCCCAUUAUCCAAUUUGUUUUAUUUCCUAUGAAAAAAAUGCUCAGGACUGCCAUGGGCAAGUCUCUUGACGGGUACCAGGAAUGGUGGGAGGCCAAUCUGAAGGUAAUUAUCUUCGCACACAACAGCAGUGUCCAGGCCUCCAGAGUACUCACCCUAUCGCCUGCUGUACGGACGGGAGCUGCAGCUGUUUACUGAGUUGUCAAACCAGAUCAGAAGGCCUCGAGGACCACCUUCAGGCAUGGGCUGAGAAGGAUGUGGAUCAGGUGAGACUGAACAUAGCGCAGGAGAAACAGGAUUGCCAUUGGAGGAGAAUCAAGGGUACCAAGUGUUUCAAAAUCUGGGUGAAUGGUUUGGAAGAAGGAUGAAAGGAAGGCGAGAACUGGGAAACCUUGCUGCUCUGUUUCUCAAAGCUGGGCUCACCAUCUGUUAAGGGACCAUCCCUUACCUCCCUCAUCAACCCCACUGACAAACAAUUACAGACAGAACCUAGGGGUUCUGCCCAACACCCAGACAUGGAGCCACCUGAUGUCCUCCAUUACCCACCACCCUCCAACUUUUCAUUACAUUAGCUACUGUUAUUGUCAUGUCAUUAUCUGCUAAGAAAGAGCAAGAAAACUAUCAUACUGGGCACAUAAUGUGAGACGCACAGAUUAACUAAAAACACUAGCACUGCAAACUCUCAGAACAAAGCCAGCAGCAGCACCUUGACUUUAUAGUCUCCCUUCCGAGACUGACUGCCUGUUGAAAACAAGUGAGCUCCCAUCCACACAGCACCCACGUCCUCUCUAUUCCACACACCAGAAUUCAGGGGGGGAAAUGAAGUCAUAUCAGGACAUCAGUGAUUAAGGUCAGAGAAAGAUGCCAGAGUUUCUGAAUUGGAAUGCCAAGUUGGAUGACUUAAAAACAAGAACCAAAAAUCCCAGUCCCAGAGUUUAUUUUGUUUUGGAGUCCCAGUUGUCAUGAAAGCACUGAAGUCAGAGAUUGCCAAGUUCUGAGUUGUUUUGAUUGUGCCCCUAGAGACCUAGUGUACUUCUUAUCUCUGAAUAUGGCUAGCUCCUACAAAGAAGUCCUUGUGUCUGUAUUGAUGUGAGAAAUAAUCAUAUCUACACAGUAAAGGUGAAUGUCUGUGAUAUCAACUAGGCUAAUAUUUUUUGUAGCGAGGUAAUAGGCCUAUUUUAGCUAAAUCGACAAAUGAAAUUGACUAGAUUAUUCUGGCAAUGAAAAAUAUGACAAAAUCAUGUAGAUGUUUGUAAGGUGUUCAUGGUGAGAUAUUUUCUAAACUAAACAGACAAACAAGCACGUGACUCAUAACAGAUGUAGUCGUUUAAGGCAUCCACGGUAAGAUCUUUCAUAACAACCUUAGAAGCAAACUGACGUGAGGUGGUCGAUGCCACAUUACACGAUGUGAACACUACAUGUACAUGACGUGUACACGUCGGCAGUUUGAUGCCUUAGGAAAAAAACUUGUUUCCAUUGACAGUUCACGUUAAUUCAUGGCGGUAUUUUAUGGCACUUUUCAUUCCCCAUAGAAGUGUCACUGCUCAAUAUGGUAGCUGCGUGAGUGGGAGAGAGAAGCCCGUGUGCUUCGCGGUUUACCGGAUCGUUUUUCUGCAGUUUUAUUUAAGAUCACUCGCGACCCACACGCUGCAGCGCUGUCGUUCAUCAGCCAGCAGCAGAUGAUGUGCUGUCAGCCACUGACGUCAUUUUCACUCGCCAUCACUCACCGCUGUCAGCACAUGGACUCAAGCUAACCACAAGUUCUGAUUCAGCUCAUAAACUCAUCGCUGUCUCUUGGUUUCAUAUAAACUUUGAGAGAUAACGAGGAGCGACCACAAUGUGUUUUGUGCGGGGAUGUGCUUAGUAAUUAUUCUCUCAAAACGAACAAAUUAAAACGACAUGUCCUGACCAAACCUCCACAGCAUGACGGUAAAACCCAGGGAGUUAAAAUCAGAACACCUACACACUGGGUAGGAACAACAUAAAUUGACCAAAGUUUAAUUACUGCCCGUCAGGCAGCAAAGGAUAA